GGGCUGGGGCUCAGUGGUAGAAUGCUUGCCUAGUGUACAGGAGGCUCUGGGUUCAAUCCCCAAGACUACCCCC
rnacentral:tRNA from 1 species